rfam:Triticum aestivum genome assembly, contig: Triticum_aestivum_CS42_TGACv1_scaffold_222201_3B
CACGUACUUCCUCCGUCCGGAAAUACUUGUCAUUAAAAUGAAUAAAAAGGGAUGUAUUUAGAACUAAUAUACAUCUAAAUACAUCCCCUUUUAUUCAUUUUGAUGACAAGUAUUUAACGGAAGAAGUACUAC